UGGAAAACCAACUUUCACUGUGUGCAGAAAUAAGCUUCUUUGGAUGCCUCUCAUGAAAAUGCAUGCAUCCUUACUAGGCAUCAGCAGUAAAGUGUCAACAGCCUGAGCACCGAAAGUUGAAAUUGCAAGUCUCCUUGGUACUGCAGCUUGCACUAAUUCAUAAUUCCACACCAACAUAAACCACAUGAAGAUUUUAGUGAAAGCCAGGAAAUCACCACUCUUACCAUCCCCACACAGUGCAGAGGAGCCAUGUCAGCUGAGUUGCUCUAAAUCCAAAGGGCAAACUUGCAGCUGGAAACAAGGAGGAGGAUCAAACAUCACUUGAGUUCUAGUGAAACCUAGUUUGCUCACCUGUGUGCAACAGUCAGAAGUCUGCUAUCAAGGAGAGCCUGUGAUGUCUGCAAUGUCAAUGACAUCUACAAGGGGACUUCAAUAAAAAUCUAUUGCAAAAAGAACUGAACUUCUGCAGUAAAAACAAUAUUGCUUGUUACGCUGGUGGAGUUGAAGCAACCUCUGACUAUACUGAAUAAUGGAGCUGAAUGACUGGAAGUGUCCUCUUCUACUUUGACUUCCCUGAAUUGCGUACUCACAGGUAAGAUAUGUGAGGUCAGGUGCAAAACACCUAUGUUACCAUAUACAAGUAAACCCCUACUCACUCAAUCCACUAAUACAUUUUCCUCUACCACUCAACCACACAAAGUGUGCUCCUCUCCUGAAAAGGGGAAAAUAGAAAAAGAAGAAUUUGAUCAACUGAGAUCACACUGAAUUCAAUGUAAAACUGCAUGCCCACAUUAGCUUUUACU